GAUAGAAAACGAAAAUUCACUCAUAGUGAACCUCGGCCUGCAUUUGUGAAACGGCAAAGACUCACUAUUAUCAAGGAAAUUGAAGAGACAACUAAAAAUGAGAUGUGUCGUAUUAUUAUACCUUUUCCAUCUUGUAGUCAAGAUGUCCAGCCACUUGAAAAUAGGUGUAGUAAUGACAAAGCUAUCCAAGUAGCUCCAGCACAGGAACACAAAGGCAAGGCAAGUGUGUAUUGCCACAUCACCCCUUAAUAUAUCUGAAGCAAAUAUAAGUAAACAAUCAGAACCAGCAAAAAAAAAACUGUUGUUCCUGAGGACAAAUUUGACAGUGAUGAGUCAAAUGCACCAGCAACAGAAGGAUCAACUGUUGACUAUGAGUUAUCUCUCUAUAUCUCCACUCCAUCAAAGACUUGUGCACUUCAGACUAUAGUUCUCAAGAAGACUAAAAAGUUGAAAAAAUGAAUGUGUUAACAACUUUAUCUAAAGUGAAAAAUAAACAACGUUUAUAUAUUGGUCUUCCACAAGAAUUAUGUUUCAUAAUAGGCUUGAUUGAGAAACAUACAAAUGUUUCUGAACAAAAUAUUAUAUUAUGUCUGAUGAGAAUAACAUUAAAUAGAACAUUCUCUCAAUUGGCUGAUGAUUUCGAUUUAUCUGUAAGUCAAGCAAGCAAUAUAUUUUUCAACAAACUCCCAGAAAUUGCAAAUGUAAUAUCACCCCUUGUUAGACUAUAAAAAAAACAAUACAAUAAAUAUAUAUGCAGGAAGGAUAAUUGAUGUCAACUUGGUGGAAAAUAGAAAGUUUUUAGAUAGUUUGCCACCUACAAAACUCUUUAAUUAAAUAAGUAAUCCUUACUUAUAAAUAGGAAGUUUUGUAAGUAUUUUCACUCUUCAUUCAAAAACUACUGAACAGAUUUUAAUAAGACUUUUAUGCUGGUCUUCUAUGGCUAGCAACUCAUUAUUAUUUUGAUUCUGUUUUCCACAAAUGUGCUAAAUAUGGGCUUAUAUAUAUGAAAAGGAAUAAAUAUUAAUGUUAUGUAACCUUUGUACCUGUAUGUUAAGAAUAAUUUUUAAUAAAACAUACUUAAUUUAAAUUGAAA